UUAUAGGUUUUAUUUAAAACCACAUAAAGUAAUAUAAACAAAUGAU
rfam:TPA: Bos taurus chromosome 4, whole genome shotgun sequence.